CCCUUAGAUGUCCUGGGCCGCACGCGUGCUACACUGACGCCUACAGCGAGUACUUCCCAGCCCCGAGAGGUGGCUGGUAAUCAGCAAUAGGCGUCGUGAUGGGGAUAGAUCUUUGGAAUUAUGGAUCUUGAACGAGGAAUGCCUAGUAAGCGCAGGUCAUUAGCCUGCGCUGAUUAAGUCCCUGCCCUUUGUACGCACCGCCCGUCGCUCCUACCGAUUUCGAGUGGUCCGGUGAAUCUUUCGGACUGCGCGCGGCCUCGUGCCGUGUCGCGGAAAGUCAGGUAAACCUUAUCACUUAGAGGAAGGAGAAGUCGUAACA
rnacentral:rRNA from 1 species